GGUCGAGUCGUAUAACGGUCAGUACAGUCGCCCCACAAUUUCAAUCGAACUUGAGGCGCGCGACAGACCCGGGUUCGAUUCCCGGCUCGACUA